rnacentral:rRNA from 1 species
AGUGAACGCUGGCGGUAGGCCUAACACAUGCAAGUCGAACGGCAGCACAGUAAGAGCUUGCUCUUACGGGUGGCGAGUGGCGGACGGGUGAGGAAUACAUCGGAGUCUACUUUUUCGUGGGGGAUAACGUAGGGAAACUUACGCUAAUACCGCAUACGACCUACGGGUGAAAGCAGGGGAUCUUCGGACCUUGCGCGAUUGAACGAGCCGAUGUCGGAUUAGCUAGUUGGCGGGGUAAAGGCCCACCAAGGCGACGAUCCGUAGCUGGUCUGAGAGGAUGAUCAGCCACACUGGAACUGAGACACGGUCCAGACUCCUACGGGAGGCAGCAGUGGGGAAUAUUGGACAAUGGGCGCAAGCCUGAUCCAGCCAUACCGCGUGGGUGAAGAAGGCCUUCGGGUUGUAAAGCCCUUUUGUUGGGAAAGAAAAGCAGCAGGUUAAUACCCCGCUGUUCUGACGGUACCCAAAGAAUAAGCACCGGCUAACUUCGUG